CCUACGGGAGGCAGCAGUGGGGGAUAUUGCACAAUGGGGGGAACCCUGAUGCAGCGACGCCGCGGGGGUGAAGGAGUGCUUCGGCAUGUAAAGCCCUAUCGGCAGGGAAGAAGCAAGACGGUACCUGACUAAGAAUCCCCGGCUAACUACGUGCCAGCAGCCGCGGUAAUACGUAGGGGGCGAGCGUUAUCCGGAUUCACUGGGUGGAAAGGGAGCGUAGACGGCCAAGCAAGCCAGGGGUGAAAGCCCGGGGCCCAACCCCGGGACUGCCCUUGGAACUGCAUGGCUGGAGUGCGGGAGGGGCAGGCAGAAUUCCGGGUGUAGCGGUGAAAUGCGUAGAUAUCAGGAGGAACACCGGCGGCGAAGGCGGCCUGCUGGACCGCGACUGACGUUGAGGCUCGAAAGCGUGGGGAGCGAACAGGAUUAGAUACCCGGGUAGUC
rnacentral:rRNA from 1 species